rnacentral:rRNA from 1 species
CCUGGCGGCAAUAGCGCGGUGGUCCCACCUGACCCCAUGCCGAACUCAGAAGUGAAACGCCGUAGCGCCGAUGGUAG